UUGAUAAUUAAUACUGAAAGUAAUCUCAAUGCAAAUAUUUGUAUGGCUUUAUCUAGUCUUAAUUUGUGACUUUCUAAUAGGAUUAUUUAUUUUCUCAUUCAAUAUCUAACAGCUUAAAUUGUUGAGGUAUAUACACAGGAGCAACUCACGUGCAUGUGUGACCUUUUUGAGAAGAAACCACGCAAGACUGUUGGUUAGCAAUCACCAUGUAAAAGGGUUUGCAGAAACCAGACAGAGGGCCUGGGUGGAGAUGCUAUUGGCUGCCUAGGUCGGACUGCCUCCAACCUGAGGUGGUCUUGGAGUGAUCUAACAUUAGAAUGAAUGGUUACGCUAGGAAUCAGACAAAGACUGGAGGUGAACAGUUUGGUAAAGUGAAGUCAAAAUGGAAAUCGUGCUGGCAGUCAUGAGGAACAAGGCCAAGCAUUGGGUCCAUCCAUGGCCAGGAGACAGAGACUGAGACAUCUGAGCAACUGCUUUCACAUAAGGCAGCCUGCUUCUGGACAUGGGGAAGCCAGAGAAAGAGAAGGAGGUUGAGGGGGAGCCUCAAGCUGUUCCCGAGGUACCAUUGACAUCCAGGGUAGAUGGGAUCUACCGGUAGUUGAUUGUGUAGGACACCAAGAUGAAACCCAGCGUAAGAGAAGAAAGAGAAGGUGAUCUUUCUGUUUUGACCAGCACACCGAGUACCAGGAGCAUGGAUCUGCUGCAAGUUCAACAGGAGACUCAGAAUGCAGCAAGCUAUGCUGCAAAUAUUUUAUAUAAAAAAUCAUCCAUGAUGAUUUUAAAAUUAUCCUUAAUUGUUUGCAGCAGUUUGUUAAUGGAAAUCAGAAGUAAUGUUGAAUAAUUCAACUUCUUUUUUUUUGUUCGUAUUUUACUACUGAUGUCCAUUAACAUCUACAAUAAAUAUUACCCGUGUUCUAAGCAAAUCUUGCUAAAUUUUAAAGGAGGCAUCAACUACUUAUUGGUGCAUAUACUCCACCUUUUUUUUAUGAUGUUCCCUUGUUUUCCUGCUGAAAAGCUCAAUGCAGCUUUAACUUAAGCAAAAUAUGAACAAAAAUCUUUAUUUGUAGAAAUCCAUACAGCAAUAUCUAUAUUACAGAGAUUGGGCAAGAUUGUUUC